rnacentral:tRNA from 1 species
AAGGUGUUAGUCCAAAAAAGACAGCUGAUUUCGACUCAACUAAUUAUGGUUUAAGCCCAUAGCACCUUU